AACGUAGGACGCAAGCGUUAUCCGGAUUUACUGGGCGUAAAGCGCGGGCAGGCGGUCUUGCCAGUCUGAUGUGAAAUCUCUCCGCUCAACGGGGAGCAGCCAUUGGAAACUACAAGACUGGAGUCUGACAGAGGUAGGCGGAAUUCCGGGUGGAGUGGUGAAAUGCGUAGAGAUCCGGAGGAACACCAGAGGCGAAGGCGGCCUACUGGGUCAGUACUGACGCUGAGCCGCGAAAGCCAGGGGAGCGAACGGG
rnacentral:rRNA from 1 species